AUACGGAGGAUCCGAGCGUUAUCCGGAUUUAUUGGGUUUAAAGGGUGCGCAGGCGGCCAUUUAAGUCAGCGGUUAAAUCGUGGGGCUCAACCCCAUUCUGCCGUUGAUACUGGGUGGCUUGAUUGCGGUCGAGGUUGGCGGAAUUCGUUGUGUAGCGGUGAAAUGCAUAGAUAUGACGAAGAACACCGAUUGCGUAGGCAGCUGACCAGACCGCAAAUGACGCUCAUGCACGAAAGGGCGGGGAUCGAACGGGAUUGGAUACCCUGGUAGUCCGCACAGUAAACGAUGAAUACUUGUUUUCGGCGAUAUAAUGUCGGAGGCAAAGCGAAAGCGAUAAGUAUUCCACCUGGGGAGUACGCCGGCAACGGUGAAACUCAAAGGAAUUGACGGGG
rnacentral:rRNA from 1 species